AGGACUACCCGCUGAACUUAAGCAUAUCAAUAAGCGGAGGAAAAGAAACUAACAAGGAUUCCCCUAGUAACUGCGAGUGAAGCGGGAAGAGCUCAAAUUUAAAAUCUGGCGGCCUCCUGGCYGUCCGAGUUGUAAGCUAGAGUAGCGCAGUCCGCGCUGGGCCAUGUACAAGUCUCCUGGAACGGAGCGUCAUAGAGGGUGAGAAUCCCGUCUCUGACAUGGACUCCCAGGGCAUAGCGAUUGCGUUCUCAAAGAGUCGAGUUGUUUGGGAAUGCAGCUCCAAAUGGGUGGUAAACUCCAUCUAAAGCUAAACAUAGGCGAGAGACCGAUAGCGAACAAGUACCGUGAGGGAAAGAUGAAAAGAACUUUGGAAAGAGAGUUAAACAGUACGUGAAAUUGUUGAAAGGGAAACGCUUGAAGUCAGUCACGUCGGCUUGGGAUCAGCCUUGCAACUGCGAGGUGCACUCCCUGGUCGACGGGUCAGCACCAGUUUCGACCGCUGGAGAAAGGUCGGGGGAAUGUGGCAUCCUCGGAUGUGUUAUAGCCCUCGAUUGCAWGCAUCGGUUGGGAUUGAGGAACUCAGCGCGCCGCAAGGCCGGGUUUUCGAACCACGUCCGCGCUCAGGAUGCUGGCACAAU
rnacentral:rRNA from 1 species